rnacentral:rRNA from 1 species
AGAACGAACGCUGGCGGCAUGCCUAAUACAUGCAAGUCGAACGAACUCUUCGGAGUUAGUGGCGCACGGGUGCGUAACGCGUGGGAAUCUGCCCUUGGGUUCGGAAUAACAGUUGGAAACGACUGCUAAUACCGGAUGAUGACGAAAGUCCAAAGAUUUAUCGCCCAGGGAUGAGCCCGCGUAGGAUUAGCUAGUUGGUGAGGUAAAGGCUCACCAAGGCGACGAUCCUUAGCUGGUCUGAGAGGAUGAUCAGCCGCACUGGGACUGAGACACGGCCCAGACUCCUACGGGAGGCAGCAGUAGGGAAUAUGGACAAUGGGCGAAAGCCUGAUCCAGCAAUGCGCGUGAGUGAUGAAGGCCUUAGGUUGUAAAGCUCUUUUACCCGAGAUGAUAAUGACAGUAUCGGAGAAUAAGACCCGGCUAAACUCCGUGCCAGCAGCCGU